CCCUUAGAUGUUCUGGGCUGCACGCGCGCUACACUGAUGCGAUCAACAAGUUUUUCCUAUGUCGAUAGACACGGGUAAUCUUUUGAACUCGCAUCGUGAUGGGGAUAGAUUAUUGUAAUUAUUAAUCUUCAACGAGGAAUUCCUAGUAGGUGCAAAUCACCAGUUUGCAUCGAUUACGUCCCUGCCCUUUGUACACACCGCCCGUCGCUGCUACCGAUUGGUUGAUCUGGUGAAUUAUUCGGACUGCCGGCUGAAGGGGUUUCCUCAUCUGCCAGCGGAAAGUCUUGUUAACCCUAUCAACUAGAGGAAGCAGAAGUCGUAACA
rnacentral:rRNA from 1 species